GACUGCUUGGCGCAAUGGUAGCGCGCGGUCCUCCUAAAAAUAACGUCUAUCGUUCAUUUCUAGGUAGUGAAAGACUGAGGUUGCGGGUUCGAGUCCCGUGGUGGUCG